rnacentral:rRNA from 1 species
AAUGAACGCUGGCGGCGUGCCUAACACAUGCAAGUCGAGCGAGAAAGUUCCUUCGGGAAUGAGUAAAGCGGCGGACGGUUGAGUAACACGUGAGAAUCUACCCCUUUAGUGAAGAAUACCUUCGAGAAAUCGAAAUUAAUACUGCAUAAGUCCCUUCGGGGAGAAAAGUGGCCUCUUUGCUACUGCUAAAGGAUGAGCUUGCGGACUAUCAGCUAGUUGGUGAGGUAAAGGCUCACCAAGGCUAUGACGGUUAGCCGGCCUGAGAGGGUGAACGGCCAGACUGGAACUUAGACACGGUCCAGACUCCUACGGGAGGCAGCAGUGAGGAAUAUUGCGCAAUGGGCGAAAGCCUGACGCAGCGACGCCGCGUGGAGGAUGAAGGUUUUCGGAUC